GAUGAACGCUGGCGGCGUGCCUAAUACAUGCAAGUCGAGCGAACGGACGAGAAGCUUGCUUCUCUGAUGUUAGCGGCGGACGGGUGAGUAACACGUGGAUAACCUACCUAUAAGACUGGGAUAACUUCGGGAAACCGUAGCUAAUACCGGAUAAUAUUUUGAACCGCAUGGUUCAAAAGUGAAAGACGGUCUUGCUGUCACUUAUAGAUGGAUCCGCGCUGCAUUAGCUAGUUGGUAAGGUAACGGCUUACCAAGGCAACGAUGCAUAGCCGACCUGAGAGGGUGAUCGGCCACACUGGAACUGCGCCACGGUCCAGACUCCUACGAGAGGCAGCAGUAGGGAAUCUUCCGCAAUGGGCGAAAGCCUGACGCAGCAACGCCGCGUGAGUGAUGAGGGUCUUCGGAUCGUAAAACUCUGUUAUUAGGGAAGAACAUAUGUGUAAGUAACUGUACACAUCUUGACGGUACCUAAUCAGAAAGCAACGGCUAACUACGUG
rnacentral:rRNA from 1 species